AUUGAACGCUGGCGGCAGGCCUAACACAUGCAAGUCGAGCGGAUGAUGGAAGCUUGCUUCCUGAUUUAGCGGCGGACGGGUGAGUAAUGCCUAGGAAUCUGCCUGUUAGUGGGGGAUAACUCGGGGAAACUCGGGCUAAUACCGCAUACGUCCUACGGGAGAAAGUGGGGGAUCUUCGGACCUCACGCUAACAGAUGAGCCUAGGUCGGAUUAGCUAGUAGGUGAGGUAAUGGCUCACCUAGGCUACGAUCCGUAACUGGUCUGAGAGGAUGAUCAGUCACACUGGAACUGAGACACGGUCCAGACUCCUACGGGAGGCAGCAGUGGGGAAUAUUGGACAAUGGGCGAAAGCCUGAUCCAGCCAUGCCGCGUGUGUGAAGAAGGUCUUCGGAUUGUAAAGCACUUUAAGUUGGGAGGAAGGGCUGUAAGCUAAUAUCUUGCAGUUUUGACGUUACCAACAGAAUAAGCACCGGCUAACUCUGUGCCAGCCGCCGCAGUAACAC
rnacentral:rRNA from 1 species